AGGACGAACGCUGGCGGCGUGCUUAACACAUGCAAGUCGAGCGAGGCCCUUCCUUCGGGAAGGUGCCCUAGCGGCGAACGGGUGAGUAACACGUGGGCAACCUGCCCCUAGCACUGGGAUAACUCCGGGAAACCGGGGCUAAUACCGGAUAUCACCUUUGAGGGCAUCCUCUUUGGUUGAAAGGAUUCUGGCUAGGGAUGGGCCCGCGGCCUAUCAGCUUGUUGGUGGGGUAAUGGCCUACCAAGGCGACG
rnacentral:rRNA from 1 species